rnacentral:misc_RNA from 1 species
GAUGAAGAACGUAGCGAAAUGCGAUAAGUAAUGUGAAUUGCAGAAUUCAGUGAAUCAUCGAAUCUUUGAACGCACAUUGCGCCCAUUGGUAUUCUAGUGGGCAUGCCUGUUCGAGCGUCAUUUCAACCCUUAAGCCUAGCUUAGUAUUGGGAAUCGACUUUACUGUCGUUCCUCAAAUUCAACGGCGGAUUUAUAGCAAUCUCUGAACGUAGUAAUUUUUUUCCUCGUUUUUGAAAUACUAUAAACCUCAGCCGCUAAACCCCCAAUUUUUCUAUGGUUGACCUCGGAUCAGGUAGGAAUACCCGCUGAACUUAAGCAUAUCAAUAAGCGGAGG